rnacentral:rRNA from 1 species
GAUGAACGCUGGCGGCGUGCCUAAUACAUGCAAGUCGAGCGAACAGACGAGGAGCUUGCUCCUCUGACGUUAGCGGCGGACGGGUGAGUAACACGUGGAUAACCUACCUAUAAGACUGGGAUAACUUCGGGAAACCGGAGCUAAUACCGGAUAAUAUAUUGAACCGCAUGGUUCAAUAGUGAAAGACGGUUUUGCUGUCACUUAUAGAUGGAUCCGCGCCGCAUUAGCUAGUUGGUAAGGUAACGGCUUACCAAGGCAACGAUGCGUAGCCGACCUGAGAGGGAGAUCGGCCACACUGGAACUGAGACACGGUACAGACUCCUACGGGAGGCAGCAGUAGGGAAUCUGCCGAAAGGGGCGAAAGCUUGACGGAGCAACGCCGCGUGAGUGAUGAAGGUCUUCGGAUCGUAAAACUCUGUUAUUAGGGAAGAAGAAAUGUGUAAGUAACUAUGCGUGUCUUGACGGUACCUAAUCAGAAAGCCGCGGAUAACUACG